UGUUUGGGAUUUUGCGUGCGCGGGAAAACUCUCGAUCUCGCUCGUCGCCGUUCAGGCCGUUUGUUUGGUUUAGUGCGGCGUCGACAGCGUGCUUGACUGGAAGUCAACUCUGUGAGUGCCUUGUAAAGUGUGUUUUGGGAAUCGCAGGUAAUUUGGUAUCGACAGUUCCGUCCUGUGACGUGGCUUUUGUACUCGUUGUGCUCCAUUCAUCGCAUUGCUUGUGACCUUCCAUCCGCAUCAUCAUUGAAGCGUCUUUUUUGCGCGCGCGUUCUUGCUGCCAUUUGGCGCCCACAAGUUGCUCUCAUCGCAUUUUGUCCAUCUCCAGAGCCGCACAACAUGACUCACGACGCGCGUCCAGAGUCGCGGAAUUUCAGGGCACGCCCUAGAAGAAAUCCCUCUUUCGCCAGCAAUUCCAUGGAUUCACGAGGAAGCAAAAAGACACACUGGCAAACCGGUUUGUGUCGUCGCGAGAAUAUCAAUUUGAGAGUCUUUUGAGCCUUUUGAGUGUGUGUUCCAAUGAAAGGAAAAACCAAUCGAGAGAGAAGUUGAGGCAUUUUUCCCGCACGCGGAAUUGCGUUGAAAUCCAUUUCAAUUCACACGAGACACAAUUAGACAUCGAUUUUUACACUCCUUCGCGUGAUAUUGAAGACGCAGCGCGCGGAUUGAUUGUCUGCUCGAGACGACACGUGAAAUUUGAUCUCUGAUUUUUCGCAAGACAAAAGUGUGGAAAAAUGCCGCUGCUGAACUUUUGCUGCUGCUGCUGCAGUCUGCGCACGGGAGGCGUGAUCCUGGGCGCUCUGGGCAUCAUCCGGUCGCUCUUGGGCAUCGCCAUCUCGGCCCUGGUCCUCAUCUCUCUCGACCAGGUCAUCAGCAUGAGCAAGGAGGAGGGCAAGACACUGAUCGACGAGAAGAGGAAUGAGUUUGGCAAUAAUUUCACUCUCACGUCUGAUGACUUUAACGACACUGCCGACAUUAUGCAUCUGGUGUUCAAGAUCAUCCUCGGCAUCUUCCUGGUUGUAUGCAUCGUGGACUUAGUCUGUGCCGUUCUCCUGAUUAUCGCCAGCAAGAAGGACCGUAAAGAGUUCGUCUUGCCUUACUUGAUCACUGACGGCAUUGGAAUCAUUCUUACCACACUUUUCUUCGUGCUGUCAGCUUUCAAUAGCCAGAAUCCUGUCCAAGGAAUUCUCUCGGCGCUCAUCAGUUUCGGAAUCGCUGGUUACUUGUGGCUCUGCGUCCUUUCUCUUUAUCAGUUGCUGAAGGAGCAGGAGCGCCCGCCGGCCGUGAUCCGCACCGCCUAUCCAGAGCAGCAGGCAGUUUACUCGUCAAUGGCCUAGGCGAGCCUCAGCUGCACAGCCUCGAAACAUUAACCAUUAGUACUUAAGAAGAACAAUGCUUGAUGAUAUUAUUUUGCAGUUCUAAUUGCACUUUGUAUGCUUUAAUCCCAGUGAGAUUAAGUUUUUAUUUUGGUGAUUUUCUGUUCUCAAUUAUAUAUUUUUUUAAUGUCUACACAGAUUGUAGAACUGUAUUGUGGAGUUCCAGUGGAAAUACAGUUGAUGAGCUACAGUGUGACGCACAUUUAUAUCUUGUCUGAUGUAUUGUGACAUGUUAAGGUCAUAUUACAGAGAUAUUUAUUUAACCGAUCUUGCAGAAUGUUCCAUUCGGCAAGAAUUAUCUCUCACUCUCCACUAUUUCCAGUUGUCGGGCAACUUAUGGUGUUUACAAUUCAUUGCGAUAAUGGAAGUGCGAUCAAUGCGAUGGAGAUUUGUGGGGAAAUUGAUGACAAUACAUAUAAAUAAACUAAUUCUCUGCUUGAUUUUUCCAGGAAAAAAGAACCCCCCAAUAAAUCAUGGCGGUGAUGCGAAAAUGUUGCUUCUGCUGGAACUUGAGAAUCGGCGGCAUGGUUCUGGGCGUCUUCUCUGCCCUCUUCUCGCUGGCCACCAUCGCCUACUGCAUCUGGAUGAUUGUCGAGAUGGAGAUCCAGAACUGGCGUGGACGUCCAGUGGUGCAGAAUUACUAUCAGAAGCGACUGGAGGACGAGAUCAUCCUGUUCCGCCUCAUUUCUGAGAUCCUCCUCGGCAUCGGGAUCUUCGUCUACAUCGCAAUCUUCAUCUCCAGCAUCUGUCUCGUCGCGGGAGCAAAGAAAGAGAAACGAGGCCGAAUUCUGCCCUACUUGAUCUUCCAGUGGCUGGGCAUCAUCGGAACUGCCCUCUACUGCUUCUUCCACGGCUCCACGGCCGUCAAGGAGAACCGCGAGACCCAGGGAACAGUAGUAAUCGUCGUUGGGUGUGUUUACAUUGUUCUCGCCUUCUACUUCUGGUUUUGCGUGCUGGCGCUCUACCAAACCAUCCGGGACAAUCAGAGGCACAACCCACGUGUGCAAAGCCAGCCCGACAGACACGCUGCCUAUUCUCCCGUUCAGUAAUCUUAAGUGCAUUUCUGCAGUAUUCAUUCGCAUAUUUAGCCAGUAGAGUACAAAAUUUGUAAGAAAUUGACAAAAUAAUCACUUUCCACUAUGUCUUAA